AUGGAGCAGGACGCGCCGCCCGUCCCCUCGCACCAGGCCCAGGACGGCGGCGCCGUGGACGGCUGGGCGCGGAAUGACAGCGAGCCCCCUCCCGUACGGCGCUCAGGCGGAGUGCCCCGAGGUCGUAGAUCCUCCUCCUUGCCGGCGCUUCCGCGGCCACGUCUCCACUGCCGCCUCCGCGUGUGCGACCCUCAACGACGACUCAGUGGGGAGGAGCCCUGCGACGACCUCGACGACGCCUGCUCCCCCGACCACAACCGCUGCGUCCAAGAAAGCCACAUGGAUUGGGGAUAUGUACCUCGGUUUGGGUUUAAAGGGGCAAUCUUUGAGCAUUUGUAUAUCAACUAUCGAGGAUCUCAGGUUGACAUGGACCGCACUAUGAUCAAGUGCAUUCUGGUGCUAUGA
rnacentral:rRNA from 1 species